rnacentral:misc_RNA from 1 species
CGAUUUAAUGCGUCCCUUGGAGUGGAAACAUAAUCUUCACAAAUCCCAGAUCCAGCUUUUGGCUCGACAACACCAUUAUAUGGUACCCUGCUGUGGACAGAAUCAAUUGUAUAAACUCUGUCACUCAUGUCAUCUCCAAAAUCUGAUGCAUUAUCCACCUUUCUCAAAUUCAAGCAGUCUUCUGAUUGAGAAACAUAAUCCAUCUUCUUAACGCUAUUGUUGAACUUGAAAUUAGGAGAUUCAGUCACAAGAUCUGGAACUGUUUCUCUUGACACCCCCAUGAAUGAACUUGAACCAUCUGCAGAAAACAUCCUGUCUCUUGGCCGCCUGGGAGAAUGGCCAACUAUCACCUUCUCUGGAAUAUUCUUUGAACCAGAAGAUUCCCCAUCUAAAUGACUGCUACUGGGACUUUGCUCCAUCUGAUUGAUUCUGUAUUCCAAAUUCUUCAGAUGAUCCUGAGCAUGAGGAGUCUCACCAAAAGCAUAUUUCUCAAUGUCAACAACGUCAUCAUCGCCCUCCAAAGCACUUG